AUGGUAUACCUUCAGUUUGUGGCCCUCCCAGUGGAAAUCUUUCUCCAGAGCAACAUCAGUGCUAAUUGCAGGCUGGCCUGGGCUAAUUGCAAGUUGCACUGACAGGAUGGCAGAGUGUUCUCCCACACCACCUCUCCUGGUGGCUCUGAAGCCACACAGCCUUUAGCCAUGGAGUUGCAUGUGGAGCAGCAGCUUAAAGCUGUUGGGUGCGAGUUCCUGCCCGCUCUGCUGCAUGUUCAGUUGUCCAUUGUGCCCUGACUCUCCAUAUGUACCAGUCUACUUGUUGCAGACGUGUGGUCAUGUUUGGCAGGUUAAAAUCUUCAUAAACAUUCUUCCCUGUUCUCUUGCCUUCCUCAUCAAUGUUGAAGUUGGUCACUUUAUAAAAGUCUAUGCAUCUGGAAAAUUUAUAUACCCUAUGUGUAAAAGCAUAGCCAUACCAUUUCUAAUAAUAUUGGAACUAAUCAGAACUAUUUCCCAAAAAUCUCUGAGUGUGAUUAAACAGAACGCACUGCGGAAUUUUUCAUGCAAUUUGGGAGACAGUUCAAAGCACUGUCAAAGUAGAGCUACUGCUUCAAAAAGAGCAGAUGGGAAAUGUAUAUUCGAUUUCCACACGGAUUGGAAUGAGGAACUGAGCCAGCCCCAGACCAGCCCUAAGCUGGAGGCAGGAUCGAUAACGCUGCACUUCCAGGUAUGUCUGUCUGAUUGGCCUUUGCUUCCCCUAUCUCUCCAUCUGCAGUGAGAGUGCUAAGAUGUCUGGUAUUAUUUACAGUUGUUUGCUACACCUGUCAUGGAUUCAGUAGAGAUUUAAGUCUAAUGCAAGCCGGCACAGGUAGAAUGUAAACAGGAGAGAAACAUUAAAACUUGCUUCUUGGUAACAGAUGGCCUCCAAGUGAAUUUGGAGAGCUGUCCUAACUCUAGCCUGAGCAUUUCAGGUGGCUCCAUAGGAACACAAAAGUGACAUGCUGCUUAAAGAAGAAAGAAAGAGAGAAAUCUGGUGGUUUUCUUCUGAGUGCUCAUCACACCCAUGAACGUUACUGGGCAAUUGCUAAUCAACCUCAAAACUUGCUACGUGCAAGCCAUCAUCACUUCUUUUGAGGCUGACGUGCGGUUUCUCAGUGCAAAGGUUUUGCAGAAUCAGAAGCUCACAGGGCAGGAGAUGGAUGUAAAGAUGAUUUAGUCUUUUGGUCAUUUGGGCAGUGAGAACUCCCUCUUUCCUCUUAUUCCUUAUUCCCUAAUUG
rnacentral:lncRNA from 1 species